UACGUAGGGUGCAAGCGUUAAUCGGAAUUACUGGGCGUAAAGCGUGCGCAGGCGGUUAUGUAAGACAGAUGUGAAAUGCCCGGGCUUAACCUGGGAACUGCAUUUGUGACUGCAUGGCUAGAGUUUGGCAGAGGGGGGUAGAAUUCCACGUGUAGCAGUGAAAUGCGUAGAUAUGUGGAGGAACACCGAUGGCGAAGGCAGCCCCCUGGGUCAAGACUGACGCUCAUGCACGAAAGGCGUGGGGAGCAAACGAGG
rnacentral:rRNA from 1 species